GUCCUUCAUCUCAGACUCCAGUGGGGCCUCCGGGGGCGACCAGCCUACCGCGGACAGUCACACAUCAGGCUGAGCUGCAGCCUUUAACCUGCAGUUGGUCUGCCGGUCUACGCUGGGACCAAACGCAGACACCACACUGCUGCUGGAGGACCAGGCCGGAUGGCUAAACCUGCUGGACAGUAGGGGGGCACGAGAGAACCAGAAUCAGGAUUGAUCAGGUACCUGUAUCUGAAGAGCAGGAUGGACAGACAGCUCUCCUGGGACAGCCCAUUGCAGGGAUGACCAUUCCUUCCACGCCAUUGUCUCCCACCAUGUAGAACUGUAGAGCCUUUGAUCACAUGGCCAUCGGUAUGGUUGUCAGCUGCUGUUUCUAAGAUUUAUUCUCCACAUUUCCCUUUGCAAACCGGAGCCAAAGCACAAGGUUUUUAUAGCUUUCAAGCCAGGCCCCAAUGAUCUGAGGUCCUUAUUUGCUGUCACCUGAGUGAAGUGUUUAUUCUAUUGCAUGUUAUUUAUCUCCACGGAAUUAACUUUGUGUGUGCUUUUUAAAAGUGUGGAUUCACUGCAUGUUACCUAUUUUAUAAAAGUUGUCGGUUAGGUAUUUAAGUUGUAUAUCACUUGUCCCUACUUCAAUAAGUCCUGCUUGAAAGCUUAACA